UGACCCUCAAGUAUUACUUGGUGUUGGGUAAGGUCCUAGGGGGACCUACCCGUAACUUGUAGGCGGUUAUAGCCCGUACCCUCAGCGUAGCAAGCUCACGCACCCGCUCGGGGAUAGGGUGUCUGGCCAGCCAGGUGAAAACCAAACCCUUCUUAAG
rnacentral:misc_RNA from 1 species